rnacentral:misc_RNA from 1 species
GAUGAAGAACGUAGCGAAAUGCGAUAAGUAAUGUGAAUUGCAGAAUUCAGUGAAUCAUCGAAUCUUUGAACGCACAUUGCGCCCGUCAGUAUUCUGGCGGGCAUGCCUGUUCGAGCGUAAUUACGCCCCUCAAGUCCCCUGUGGACUUGGUGUUGGGGAUCGGCGAGGCUGGUUUUCCAGCACAGCCGUCCCUUAAAUUAAUUGGCGGUCUCGCCGUGGCCCUCCUCUGCGCAGUAGUAAAACACUCGCAACAGGAGCCCGGCGCGGUCCACUGCCGUAAAACCCCCCAACUUUUUAUAGUUGACCUCGAAUCAGGUAGGACUACCCGCUGAACUUAAGCAUAUCAAUAAGCGGAGGA